UCAGCAGAUGCUGGCGCAAGGAAGCACCGACACGGGAGCUGCUCUGCAGAGGUUGAACGCAGAGACUGCAAAGUCCAUAGAAAACAUGAAGGCCAGGGUCCAGCAGAAA
rnacentral:ribozyme from 1 species